ensembl:lncRNA LINC03002 long intergenic non-protein coding RNA 3002
AUGCUUGUCUCGUGGGGCAACUGGCAAUGAUUGGGAAUUAGCAAAGCCUGGGAAGCCUGAGACAGGCACCUCUUCCUGGGCAACUGAUUCAUCAUAUAGAGUGCAGUCUCCGCUUCUCUGCUUGUAAAACUUAUAAGGGCUCACAGAGCCAGAAAAGGAGAUGAAAUCCCUUUAAUGGUUCAUUGUCAUCAUCUUCAUCCAGCGUCCUUCAGAAGUAUAGAGGCCAUAAUUGCCCUGCAAUGGAUCAUGGAUCCCAGGCUGCUUCUGGACAGGCUCCAGACUCACUGGAGACAUCCUGACACAUAAUGCUUCGCCCAGCACAAUGCGAUGCCCUUUACCUAGUAAAAGGGUGAGUCCCGUAAAGGUGCUGCCUUCCCCCCAGAACAAACAAGGGAAAUGCAUCAGGAGAGCUCAGCUGCAGACAGAAUGCACAUCAUGAAGCAGGAGCCACCCUGGGAUUCCUCAGAUGAAAGCCAAUUUCAAUGAACAUUGUGUUUCAAAGCCCGCUUCCUCUUGCUCGGUUGUCUGCCAACGCUAACUGGCCAGCUCUGACAGGAGGUGCGUGGCCCAGGAGGAGCCAUCAGGCCAGUUCUCUGGGAUACUGCUGUGUCUCCAGCUCUGCAGUUUGCUCUUCGUCACUCAGCGGCAGACGGAGAGGCAGACACGAGCCCCUUGUGAGCCCUCCUCCUUACCGUCAUCUCACAAUGCUCUGAAAUAAGGAGGCAAAUGGCUGAGGUCCCCUCAGUUGUAGAUGUGAUUGAGUUCUAUCUACCAGAAGCAUAUGCCUCCUGGAAGCCUGGUUCUAACACCUCCCACAAAAUCCUUCAAGCACUUUUUUCUGUUCCAAGGUUUGCUUAUGGGGGACCCAGUGAAGUGCUUCAGAGCCCUAGAGAUUUGCUGAGUCAUAUGAGGGGUCAGCAAACUUUUCCUGUAAAGGGUCAGAUAAUAAACAUUUUAAGCUUUGUAGACUGUAUAAA